GCGAACGGGUGAGUAACACGUGGGCAAUCUGCCCUUCACUCUGGGACAAGCCCUGGAAACGGGGUCUAAUACCGGAUAACACUCCUGUCCUCCUGGACGGGGGUUAAAAGCUCCGGCGGUGAAGGAUGAGCCCGCGGCCUAUCAGCUUGUUGGUGAGGUAAUGGCUCACCAAGGCGACGACGGGUAGCCGGCCUGAGAGGGCGACCGGCCACACUGGGACUGAGACACGGCCCAGACUCCUACGGGAGGCAGCAGUGGGGAAUAUUGCACAAUGGGCGAAAGCCUGAUGCAGCGACGCCGCGUGAGGGAUGACGGCCUUCGGGUUGUAAACCUCUUUCAGCAGGGAAGAAGCGAAAGUGACGGUACCUGCAGAAGAAGCGCCGGCUAACUACGUGCCAGCAGCCGCGGUAAUACGUAGGGCGCAAGCGUUGUCCGGAAUUAUUGGGCGUAAAGAGCUCGUAGGCGGCUUGUCACGUCGGGUGUGAAAGCCCGGGGCUUAACCCCGGGUCUGCAUUCGAUACGGGCUAGCUAGAGUGUGGUAGGGGAGAUCGGAAUUCCUGGUGUAGCGGUGAAAUGCGCAGAUAUCAGGAGGAACACCGGUGGCGAAGGCGGAUCUCUGGGCCAUUACUGACGCUGAGGAGCGAAAGCGUGGGGAGCGAACAGGAUUAGAUACCCUGGUAGUCCA
rnacentral:rRNA from 2 species